rnacentral:rRNA from 1 species
AGGUUAAGCUAAUAAGAGCACACGGAGGAUGCCUAGGCGCCAGGAGCCGACGAAGGACGUGGCGAACAACGAAACUGCCUCGGGGAGCUGUAAGCAAGCUUUGAUCCGGGGGUGUCCGAAUGGGGAAACCCAGCUGUGGUAAUUCGCAGUUACUCAUACCUGAAUACAUAGGGUGUGUAGAGGCAGACCAGGGGAACUGAAACAUCUAAGUACCCUGAGGAAGAGAAAACAAUAGUGAUUCCGUCAGUAGCGGCGAGCGAACGCGGAACAGCCUAAACCAAGGGGCUUGCCUCUUGGGGUUGUGGGACGUCUCACAUGGAGUUACAAAGGAAUAUGGUAGGUGAAGAGGUCUGGAAAGGCCCGCGAUAGAGGUAAAAGCCCUGUAACCUAAACUGUGUUCUCUCCGAGACGGAUCCCGAGUAGUGCGGGGCACGUGAAACCCCGUAUGAAUCCAGCAGGACCAUCUGCUAAGGCUAAAUACUACCUGGCGACCGAUAGUGAAACAGUACCGUGAGGGAAAGGUGAAAAGCACCCCGGAAGGGGAGUGAAAUAGAACCUGAAACCGUGUGCUUACAAAAAGUCAGAGCCCGAUCUAUGGGUGAUGGCGUGCCUUUUGUAGAAUGAACCGGCGAGUUACGUUUAACAUGCAAGGUUAAGCCGAGAAGGUGGAGCCGCAGCGAAAGCGAGUCUGAA